GGGGUUGUUUGGUUUUGACAGCUCGUAUGUGAUCAUGUAAGCACGUCGGACGUUGUAAGCAGGUUCCGUAAUAGCCAACUUUCAUGCCAGAUAAAUGGCGAAAAUAACAAUUUUGCAUUAGCUGCCUAGUAGACUAAGCAGCCUGCUGUUUCCCCAAAAGCCUUUCUCUACGGCGUUUGGAGUGAAGCAUCGGAAAAGUAGAGAUAGUUACUGUAUGCCUUGAUACAGAAAUGAAAAUUAAAAGGAUAAGCUUUUGUCUGGUCUAGCCUUGUACCGUACAUUAGUCGAAAAAUAAACAAAGGAUAAGCGUGUAGAAAGCAUUUUUGCAGCGUGUUUGGACGAGGGUUCGACUCCCUCCAACUCCACAA
rnacentral:tmRNA from 1 species